GCCCCAGAUACCAGAUGGUUAGGUUGUGGUCCCUGUCCGCCCCUGAUACCAGAUGAUUACGUUGUGGUCUCUUUCCGCCCCUGAUACCAGAUGAUGAGGUUGUGGUCCCUGUCCACCCCUGAUCCCAGAUGAUUAGGUUGUGGUCCCUGUCUGCCCCUGAUACCAGAUGACUAGGCUGUGGUCCCCGUCCGCCCCUGAUACCAGAUGAUUAGGUUGUGGUCCCCUUCCGCCCCUGAUACCAGAUGAUUAGGUUGUGGGCCCCGUCCGCCCCUGAUACCAGAUGAUUAGGUUGUGGUCCAUGUCCACCCCUGAUCCCAGAUGAUUAGGUUGUGGUCCCCGUCCGCCCCUGAUACCAGAUGAUUAGGUUGUC
ensembl:lncRNA